GCCAUAGCUCAGUGGAAAAGCAUCUGCUUUGCAUGCAGAAGGUUUCAAGUUCAAUCCCUGGUAUCUCCA